AGUUCAAACCUUAGCCUCGGCAUGGUGCUCUACCCAACUUUUUCUUUUUUUAGUACUUGGAAAACAUUAACAUCUAUAAUAAAUCCAAAAAUCUCAUCCAUUAUUCUGUAAGAGACCAACAUACAAAAUUGACGAAACACAAAGUCACGGUCUCACAACAUGUAAUUAAACGGGCUACACGUGUUUCGCUCUAGUUAGAGCAUCAUCAGGCCUUUAGAAGCCAUCCACACACUUAUGCUGUAACUGAUGAUGCUCUAACUAGAGCGAAACACGUGUAGCCCGUUUAAUUACAUGUUGUGAGACCGUGACUUUGUGUUUUUCUUUGUUUUUCGUCAAUCUAUAGUAAAUACAGAGAGAAAAGGAAAGGUCUUAUUAUAUAUUAUAAUCAAAAAUAAAUUUCAUUGAAAUAUUACUAACUUAUUUCUGGGUAUCAUGCUUCAGAGAACCAUGAUGUGUUACAAUACGCUCCGCUCUUUAAUUUUAGUUUAGUAGAAAAUAUUCUCAAAACCUACAUAUAUCAAAAUUAUGUCAGGGUUCUAAAAUGAAUCGGUAAUAAAAUCGUAAACCAGAUCAACAUUGGAAAUAAUUUAAAAAAUUUGCUUUGGUCCGAUUGAAAAAAGUACUAUACUACCAAAUAGUUACAUCUAUUCUGUAGCAAUAAAAGUUAUAAAAUUCUGUCUAUUAUUAAUUUUAAUAUUAUAAAGUGUAUCGUUUAACUCUUAGCCAUUAUUUAUAAUUUAAUUGUUAAUUAUGCCUAAAAAAACGAAUUAACAACUUUGGUAUUGUUUGGAAGGUAAACAGCUUAAUUCCUUUAUGUAAAGCCACCUUAACAUGUUUUUGCAUAAUUCUGACUCACGUUGGUUGCUAUCGGGCUUAAGCCAUAAAAAUCGAAGAAAAAAAGAAGAAGACGAAGAGACUUUCACUUGUCAUUUCAAUGUCACUUUCCGGCCCACAAGCAUAAACGCCACCGGCAACGGAAGUUCCCAAAAUCCAAACAAAUGUUGGAAGAUAUUUUUAAGUCUCCGCAUCUUUCUUACUUUCCUAUAUGAAAAUAAAAUUGGACUACACCAACAAAGGUUAUGUGUUUUGCACCAGAUUGAAAGCAUCAUAGCGAAAAACGGACCUGUCAUAUCUUUAAAUUUUCAAAAGAGCCCCUGGAAAAAGAAAAAUGAAUAUCUUUGCCAAGGAAUAGGUACUAAGGCAAAUGGAUAAAAAACCUUCAGUCCAUGCAUUGGUAUGUAAUUGUUGACAAAAAUACAAUGAAUGGCCUCACUACUUUUCCACAUGCAAAGAGGUUAACCAAGGAGAAAUUAAAGAAAUUGUCAAAAACCUAGGUAAAUACAGAAUUGCUUAGUACAAACAUAUCUAUACCCAGUACAAGUUCGUCCACUUCUUUGAAGCAUGGUACUUCAAACAGAGACACUGUCAACAAUUUUGUAGAAGGUGAGCCGGUGUCAAAUUCCAGUAAGGGACAUGAUUUCAAUUUUGCACCAACAGCAGAGCUUAAAUUCAUUUUGCCGCAAAAAACUGGAGGAUGUGAAAGAAAAAAGUGCAGAAGUUAAAAUUAAGUUUUUCAUAUGAGCACAUAAAAAAUAAUCAUGACAAAGUUCAGUUGUAUACAGGUUUGACAUGUAAUAAAUAUUUUUGUAAUCUUA
rnacentral:lncRNA from 1 species